rnacentral:rRNA from 1 species
GGGUUAAGUCCCGCAACGAGCGCAACCCUUGUUUUAGUUGCCUUUUAUGGAACUCUAAAAGACUGCUGGUUAUAAACCGGAGGAAGGUGGGGAUGACGUCAAGUCAGCAUGCCCCUUACACCCUCGGGCUACACACGUGCUACAUUGGGCGAGACAAUGAGAUGCAAAUCUGCAAAGACUAGCUAAUCUAUAAACUCGCUCUAAGUUCGGAUUGUAGGCUGCAACUCGCCUACAUGAAGGUGGAAUCGCUAGUAAUCGCUGGUCAGACUAUACAGUGGUGAAUUCGUUCCCGGGCCUU